CUAGGACCAUGGUGUCUGAUCUUGAACUGGCAGCAGGAGCCACGACCACUUUAAAUCAAUGGCUGCUGGGAUGUCUGACGAGUGACAUUCUUCCGCUCCAGACCGCAACGUCAGGGGCGUCACUCGUCAGACAUCCUGGCGGCCAGCGCUGCUCAUUGCUCAUUGAGUCUGCCGGAGCCGCACUGAUCUAUCCAAUCAGAGAGCAGCACUACUGAAAUAGAACUCCCAGGAGGUAACAGCGUGUCACACAUGUGAUGUCAUAACCAUUGUCCACCAGAGAGCAGCACUGAGCAGAUAUAACACUGCUCCUGCUCAUUCUUCACCAGUGAGGGGCCGUUGCUGGACACUGUAGGGACGCGGGAAUGCGAAGUUGAAUACAUCACUGUGAUUGAUGCACUAUUUCCAGGAUGUGGAGUAGCAUUUCCGGACUAUCAAGAAGUUGUAAUAAGGCACAUAUUUCUGGACUUACAGCAAGAAGUUGGAUGAAGGCACAGCCCCUCGAAUCACUCACAUACACAGACACAUUGGCCCAAAUUCUAGAGGUAACCUCCUUUAGUAUGCCCAGAGGAAGGGCAGUACAGUAGCCAUGGAUUCCCUACAGGUUUCCUCCCCUCUGGAGGUUUUUCCUGUCCUGAGUUAGUUACUGUACGCUCUUUGUGAGUGAUGGACGGUUACAAAAAUCCCUACACAAACAUUUUAAUAAAUAAUAAAUAAAGUUCCCCCUUUUUUUUAAACUGUUCU